ACACGCAUGACACACUGCAUAUCAAUAAGCGGAGGAAAAGAAACUAACAAGGAUUCCCCUAGUAACGGCGAGUGAAGCGGGAAGAGCUCAAAUUUGAAAUCUUAAAGGGUUUCCCUUUACGAAUUGUAGUUUAAAGAAGUGUUUUCUGUUGGAGUUUCGGUAAAAGUUCUUUGGAAUAGGACAUCAUAGAGGGUGAGAAUCCCGUAUUUGACCGUUACUUUCCAGCUGUGUGAUACACUUUCAAAGAGUCGGAUUGUUUGGGAAUGCAGUCCAAGAUGGGUGGUAUAUUUCAUCUAAAGCUAAAUAUUGGCGAGAGACCGAUAGCGAACAAGUACCGUGAGGGAAAGAUGAAAAGAACUUUGAAAAGUGAGUUAAACAGUACGUGAAAUUGUCAAAAGGGAAGCGUUUGACACCAGUGUUGUUUAGUUGAAAAUCAAUUCAAUAGUUUUUGAUUCUAAGUAGUAUUGACUUCAUCAGCUUGCUGCUUUCUUCUCAGAAAUUAUUGAAUGCACUUUUCAGUUAACAAGUCAACAUCAAUUUCUUUUGUUGUAAAAGGGUAAGAGGAAGGUGGCUUGCGCUUCGGCUCAAGUGUUUAUAGCCUUGUGCUCUCUGCAAUCGGAGAGAUUGAGGUCUGCAGCGUAGAUCCUUCGGGGUUAGAUACGUUUGUGCUAAGUUAUAGCUUUUCAUAGACAACUUGUUGACUAUGUUUAGUCUUGUAGCUUACUCGCUGACGCUAUUUUACCUACGCUUAGGAUGUUGAUCUACAGAGCGAGAGU
rnacentral:rRNA from 1 species